rnacentral:rRNA from 1 species
GAGGAAGGACGGCUUUUGGGUUGUAAACCUCUUUUAUCAGGGAAGAAUCGAUGACGGUACCUGAUGAAUCAGCAUCGGCUAACUCCGUGCCAGCAGCCGCGGUAAUACGGAGGAUGCAAGCGUUAUCCGGAAUUAUUGGGCGUAAAGCGUCCGUAGGUGGUUUAUCAAGUCUGCUGUCAAAGCGUGCGGCUUAACUGCAUAAGGGCAGUGGAAACUGAUGAACUAGAGUGCUAUAGGGGUAACAGGAAUUCCCAGUGUAGCGGUGAAAUGCGUAGAUAUUGGGAAGAACACCAGCGGCGAAAGCGUGUUACUGGGUCUGCACUGACACUGAGGGACGAAAGCUAGGCGAGCGAAAGGGAUUAGAUACCCCUGUAGUCCUAGCCGUAAACGAUGACAACUAGGCGUGGUGCGUAUCGACCCGAGCCGUGCCGUAGCCAACGCGUUAAGUUGUCC